CCUACGGGUGGCAGCAGUGAGGAAUAUUGGUCAAUGGACGAGAGUCUGAACCAGCCAAGUAGCGUGAAGGAUGACUGCCCUAUGGGUUGUAAACUUCUUUUAUAAAGGAAUAAAACGAGGCACGUGUGCCUUUUUGCAUGUACUUUAUGAAUAAGGAUCGGCUAACUCCGUGCCAGCAGCCGCGGUAAUACGGAGGAUCCGAGCGUUAUCCGGAUUUAUUGGGUUUAAAGGGAGCGUAGAUGGGUUGUUAAGUCAGUUGUGAAAGUUUGAGGCUCAACCGUAAAAUUGCAAUUGAUACUGGCAGUCGUGAGUACAGUUGAGGUAGGAGGAAUUCGUGGUGUAGCGGUGAAAUGCUUAGAUAUCACGAAGAACCCCGAUUGCGAAGGCAGCUUACUAAACUGUGACUGACAUUGAUGCUCGAAAGUGUGGGUAUCAAACAGGAUUAGAUACCCCUGUAGUC
rnacentral:rRNA from 1 species